GCACUGGCUUUGGCAGCACAUAUACUAAAAUUGGAACAUACAGAAAAGAUUAGCAUGGCCCCUUCAUAAGGAUGGCAUGCAAAUUUGUGAAGCAUUCCAUAUUUUU
rnacentral:snRNA from 1 species